rnacentral:rRNA from 1 species
GACGGAGGGUGCAAACGUUGUUCGGAAUCACUGGGCGUAAAGCGCACGUAGGCGGCUUUCUAAGUCAGGGGUGAAAUCCUGGAGCUCAACUCCAGAACUGCCUUUGAUACUGGAGAGCUUGAGUCCGGAGAGGUGAGUGGAACUCCGAGUGUAGAGGUGAAAUUCGUAGAUAUUCGGAAGAACACCAGUGGCGAAGGCGGCUCACUGGUCCGGUACUGACGCUGAGGUGCGAAAGCGUGGGGAGCAAACAGG